rnacentral:rRNA from 1 species
UACGGAGGGUGCGAGCGUUGUCCGGAUUUAUUGGGUUUAAAGGGUGCGUAGGUGGCUGAUUAAGUCAGUGGUGAAAUACAGCCGCUCAACGGUUGAGGUGCCAUUGAUACUGAUCAGCUUGAAAUAAUUGGAGGCUGCCGGAAUGGAUGGUGUAGCGGUGAAAUGCGUAGAUAUCAUCCAGAACACCGAUUGCGAAGGCAGGUGGCUACGAUUUAUUUGACACUGAGGCACGAAAGCAUGGGGAGCAAACAGG